rnacentral:rRNA from 1 species
GACGAACCGUCCUAACGUUGUUCGGAAUCACUGGGCUUAAAGGGCGCGUAGGCGGUCGGCAAAGUUAGGGGUGAAAUCUUUCGGCUUAACCGGAAAAGUGCCUUUAAAACUAGUCGACUCGAGCGAGAUAGGGGCAACUGGAACUUCCGGUGGAGCGGUGAAAUGCGUUGAUAUCGGAAGGAACGCCGGUGGCGAAGGCGGCCCUCUGGACGGUGACUGACGCUGAGACGCGAAAGCGUGGGGAGCAAACAGG